UACAGAGGGUGCGAGCGUUAAUCGGAAUUACUGGGCGUAAAGCGCACGUAGUCGGCUUUGCAAGUCGGUUGUGAAAUCCCCGGGCUCAACCUGGGAACUGCAUCCGAGACUGCAUUGCUAGAGUAUGGGAGAGGAAAGCGGAAUUUCUGGUGUAGCAGUGAAAUGCGUAGAUAUCUGGAGGAACACCGGUGGCGAAGGCGGCAUCCUGGACCGACACUGACGCUGAGGAGCGAAAGCCAGGGGAGCAAACGGG
rnacentral:rRNA from 1 species